UACGAAGGGGGCUAGCGUUGCUCGGAAUCACUGGGCGUAAAGCGCACGUAGGCGGCUCUUUAAGUCAGGGGUGAAAUCCUGGAGCUCAACUCCAGAACUGCCUUUGAUACUGGGGAUCUCGAGUCCGGGAGAGGUGAGUGGAACUGCGAGUGUAGAGGUGAAAUUCGUAGAUAUUCGCAAGAACACCAGUGGCGAAGGCGGCUCACUGGCCCGGUACUGACGCUGAGGUGCGAAAGCGUGGGGAGCAAACAGG
rnacentral:rRNA from 1 species